GGGGGUGGUGCAAGUUACGAGAUGUGCUUCAGACAUGGCUCCAGACCAGUGGACAGGAUAAUCACACUGAAAAAGAUUCAGUUUGUCAAGAAUUAGAAGAGUUGAAGAACAGUAUUGACCAGCUCACUACAAAACUGUCCAAACAGAGGCCCAGAAUACUGCAACAUGUUGAAUGGAUUCACCAUCUGCAGAUCACCCUUCAGUCAUCUUGCACCACCAACUCAAAAUGAUAUUUGUUAUAGACUUUUAAGGGACCUUUUUUAACAGUAAGAAGACAUAUCCCUUAAUUCAACAGAGAUUCUGUAGAAGAAAAUAUGUAAAUUUAAUAAAACUGCAAAGGUGGGCAGUCCUUGUGGCAGCUGCCGUUAAAUACUUUCCAUAUGUGUGCAAAAAGUUACUUGGUCUUACGCAAGAGUGUCUCAAUUUUCUUUGAACAAGUGCCUCGUGUAGCUCCAAACUGUGUGAAGUCUAUGGUGAAGAGUUUUGGGACCUGUUUUUGCUCUGUGCUUGUCUGUAGCAGCAAUGCAAGGAUUCUACCCACUUUUGCUUUUGACCAUCUUUCUUUCACACAUCUAUGCGAAGAAGAUGCGUUGGUGCACAGUUUCAGAGCCCGAGCAGAGGAAGUGUGCGGAGCUGGCUAAAGCCCUGGUUGCUGUG
ensembl:lncRNA